UUUGAAUGUUUGUUUAAUGCACGCCAAACAUUCUCAUUCCUCCAUGGCUAUUCAACCUAUAAUUUCAUCUCUUCACUCUCAUUUUCAUCUUCAACUCCUCCCUCACUCUCCUACUGUUUCUCCAUUUACGUUUCUUCCUGGACACCUCCACUCUAAAUUUCACAAGGCCCCCAGAAAAUCUCCAAGAAUCCUUUGCAAAUCCAAUGAAGAUGAUUAUCUCAUAGAUUCUUCUGUUUCUGUUGGUGAUGGCUUUUCUUUCAGUGGAGGAAAAUAUUCAGAUGGGUCAUCACCUUCUGAUGAAUGGUUUAAGCAAGGAAAAAUGAUGAAAGCACAUCCUGUUUCUGGUUUUGGUGAGAAGGCAAAAGAUCCUGUUUUCGGACUUACUAUGGGGCUGCUUCUCAGGCCUCAGCUGAUGUUUUCAGGGUUUACCGAUUGAAACAUGCUCUCUCUAUAUAUGAUUUUGUGCCUUAGAUGGUUCUGCGUCGAAAGUGGAAGUGCAGAUAAUCAUUCAGUUUUGUUGAUUCAUGGUUUCCCUUCACAAGCCUAUUCUUAUCGCAAAGUCCUUCCUACACUCGCCAAGAACUAUCAUGCCAUUGCUUUUGAUUGGCUAGGCUUUGGAUUUUCAGAUAAGCCUCAACUCAGAUAUGGAUUUGACUAUACUGUCGAUGAAUAUGUGGCAUCCUUGGAGUCUGUUAUUAAUGAAAUUGGCAGUUACAAGGUCUCGAUUGUUGUCUAGGCAUGUUUUCCUUCUUUGAUUUUCAAAGUUCGGAUGUAGCAGCUAACUUUAUCUAUUAUGUUUAGUAAAAUGAAACUGGAACUUCCUAUUUUUGAUGUGCUUCGCAGGGUUACUUUUCGCUUGUGGUUGUUACAUAUGCAAGCAAUCAUCAGGAAAAGCUUAAGGAUCUAGUUCUACUUGAUCCUCCGGUAUGCAUCUCCUGAAACUUUACCAUUCAGUUGCUGAAUUUCCUUCGACAAUAACUCAUUCUAUUAUUUGUGAUGCUCUUAAUUGCAUUCAGUAACAACUAAAUGAUGGUGAAUUUUUAGAAUGAAGACAACUAACAUAUGCUCCUUCCUGGUUUACUUAAGCUAACAGAAAAACAUGCCAACCUUCCGUCAACCUUGUCAUCUUUAGCAACUUUUUGCUCGGCGAAAUUUUUUCCCAGGAUCCACUAAGGGCUAGUGAUAAAGCCUUGAUGAGCUCCGAUCCUUAUAAAAUGAAAGAAGAUGAUGCAAUGGUUUAUAGAAGACCUUAUCUCACUUCUGGUUCUACAGGGUUCGCAUUGAAUGCCCUUAGUCGAGCGAUGAAGAAGGAGUUGAAGGUGAAUCUAAUUUAUUUUCUGGUAAUUUUCUCUACUUAUCGAUCAUUUAUUCAGCCUUUGUGUUUUGUAAGAUUACUUGCUA